rfam:Strongylocentrotus purpuratus Contig118159_fixed, whole genome shotgun sequence.
AAGGUUACCUGGCGCAGGGGUCGCAUUGAUCAAGAAGGAUGCACCCCCAGGGCGAGGCUAAUUGCCAUUGCACUCCGGCUUGCUGAACCUUGCGAUUCCCCCAAACGUGGGGAACUCGGGCGUAUUGUUUAUGGUAGCGGAGAUCUGCGUUCGCGCUAUCUCCUA